UGGGGAAUCUUGCGCAAUGGCCGAAAGGCUGACGCAGCGACGCCGCGUGUGGGAUGAAGCAUUUCGGUGUGUAAACCACUGUUGCCCGGGACGAACAGCUUCUUUCGAGGAGCCUGACGGUACCGGGUGAGGAAGCACCGGCUAACUCCGUGCCAGCAGCCGCGGUAAUACGGAGGGUGCGAGCGUUGUCCGGAAUCACUGGGCGUAAAGGGCGCGUAGGUGGCGCGAGUAGUCAACGGUGAAAGCCCGGGGCUCAACCCCGGGUCGGCCGUCGAUACUCUCGUGCUUGAGCACUGUAGAGGCAGGUGGAAUUCCGGGUGUAGCGGUGGAAUGCGUAGAGAUCCGGAAGAACACCGGUGGCGAAGGCGGCCUGCUGGGCAGUAGCUGACACUGAGGCGCGACAGCGUGGGGAGCAAACA
rnacentral:rRNA from 1 species